rnacentral:rRNA from 1 species
GGGGAAUUUUCCGCAAUGGGCGAAAGCCUGACGGAGCAAUACCGCGUGAGGGAUGACGGCCUAUGGGUUGUAAACCUCUUUUUUCAGGGAGGAAACAAAUGACGUUACCUGAAGAAUAAGCAUCGGCUAACUCCGUGCCAGCAGCCGCGGUAAGACGGAGGAUGCAAGUGUUAUCCGGAAUCACUGGGCGUAAAGCGUCUGUAGGUGGUUUAAUAAGUCAACUGUUAAAUCUCGAGGCUCAACCUCGAAACCGCAGUCGAAACUAUUAGACUAGAGUAUAGUAGGGGUAAAGGGAAUUUCCAGUGGAGCGGUGAAAUGCGUAGAGAUUGGAAAGAACACCGAUGGCGAAGGCACUUUACUGGGCUAUGACUAACACUGAGAGACGAAAGCUAGGGUAGCAAAUGGGAUUAGAUACCCCAGUAGUC